UACGUAGGAGGCGAGCGUUGUCCGGAUUUACUGGGCGUAAAGCGCGCGCAGGCGGCACCUCAAGUAAGGUGUGAAAUCUCCCUGCUCAACGGGGAGGGUGCACUUUAGACUGGGGAGCUAGAGGACGGUAGAGGGGGGUGGAAUUGCUGGUGUAGCGGUGAAAUGCGUAGAGAUGGGGGAGAACACUCGUGGCGAAGGCGGCCAGCUAGACCAGUUCUGACACUGAGGCGCGACAGCGUGGGGAGCAAACAGG
rnacentral:rRNA from 1 species